CCUACGGGAGGCUGCAGUGGGGAAUCUUUCACAAUGGGCGAAAGCCUGAUGGAGCAACGCCGCGUGCAGGAUGAAGGCCUUCGGGUUGUAAACUGCUUUUGUAAGCGAGAAAUAUGAUGGUAGCUUAUGAAUAAGGAUCGACUAACAACGUGCCAGCAGCCGCCGUCAUACGUAGGAUCCGGGCAUUAUCCGGAGUGACUGGGUGGAAAGAGUGGCGUAGGUGGCAUAAUAAGUAGCGAGUGAAAUCUGGUGGGUAAACCAUUCAGACUACUAGUUAAACUGUUAUGCUCGAGACCGGUAGGGGUAACUGGAAUUUCUAGUGUAGGAGUGAAAUCCGUAGAUAUUAGAAGGAACACCAAUAGCGUAGGCAGGCUACUGGGACGGUUCUGACACUAAGGCACGAAAGCGUAGGGAGCAAACGGGAUUAGAUACCCGUGUAGUC
rnacentral:rRNA from 1 species